rnacentral:rRNA from 1 species
CGGUAACAUUUCUAGCUUGCUAGAAGAUGACGAGUGGCGGACGGGUGAGUAAUACUUAGGAAUAUGCCUUUGUGUGGGGGAUAACUAUUGGAAACGAUAGCUAAUACCGCAUAACGUCUUCGGACCAAAGGGGGCUCCGGCUCCCGCGCAAAGAGUAGCCUAAGCGAGAUUAGCUUGUUGGUGAGGUAAAGGCUCACCAAGGCGACGAUCUCUAGCUGUUCUGAGAGGAAGAUCAGCCACACUGGAACUGAGACACGGUCCAGACUCCUACGGGAGGCAGCAGUGGGGAAUAUUGCACAAUGGGGGAAACCCUGAUGCAGCCAUGCCGCGUGUGUGAAGAAGGCCUUCGGGUUGUAAAGCACUUUCAGUUGUGAGGAAAGGUUAGUGGUUAAUACCCAUUAGCUGUGACGUUAGCAACAGAAGAAGGACCGGCUAACUCCGUGCCAGCAGCCGCGGUAAUACGGAGGGUCCGAACGUUAAUCGGAAUUACUGGGCGUAAAGCGCACGCAGGCGGUUUGUUAAGCUAGAUGUGAAAGCCCUGGGCUCAACCUGGGAAUUGCAUUUAGAACUGGCAGGCUAGAGUUUUGGAGAGGGGAGUGGAAUUCCAGGUGUAGCGGUGA